rnacentral:rRNA from 1 species
GCUACAGGCUUAACACAUGCAAGUCGAGGGGCAGCACAGUGUAGCAAUACAUGGGUGGCGACCGGCGCACGGGUGCGUAACGUGUAUCCAACCUUCCCGUUACUCUUGGAUAGCCUUCCGAAAGGGAGAUUAAUACAAGAUGGUAUUCAAAUUCCGCAUGUUAUUUGAAUUAAAGAUUUAUCGGUAACGGAUGGGGAUGCGUGACAUUAGAUAGUAGGCGGGGUAACGGCCCACCUAGUCUACGAUGUCUAGGGGUUCUGAGAGGAAGGUCCCCCACACUGGAACUGAGACACGGUCCAGACUCCUACGGGAGGCAGCAGUGAGGAAUAUUGGUCAAUGGGCGCAAGCCUGAACCAGCCAAGUAGCGUGAAGGAUGACUGCCCUAUGGGUUGUAAACUUCUUUUAUACGGGAACAAACCUUGGUACGCGUACCAAAUUGCGUGUACCGUAUGAAUAAGCAUCGGCUAACUCCGUGCCAGCAGCCGCGGUAAUACGGAGGAUGCGAGCGUUAUCCGGAUUUAUUGGGUUUAAAGGGAGCGUAGGUGGUUUGUUAAGCCAGCUGUGAAAUACUGUAGCUCAACUACAGCCGUGCAGUUGGAACUGGCAGACUUGAGUGCACUAGAGGAAGGUGGAAUUCGUGGUGUAGCGGUGAAAUGUUUAGAUAUCACG